ACACACACACACACACACACACACGCACACGCACACACACACGCACACACACACGCACACACACACGCACACACACACACACACACACACACACACACACACACACGCCUGCGUUCCCCCCACCGCAGCCCGGCUGGAGGCCUCCGAGGCGGGAGGAGCGCGAUGAUGGAUGUGUUAUAUCAACUUCUUCCAGACAGCCGGUCUGCGAAGUGGACAGAGGGACACGGAGGGGGCCGGCGGUCAACACAGGCUUUAGCCCCAAUUUGUGUGUGUUUGCAAGAGAGAGAGAGAGAGAGAGAGAGUGCGUACACCUCGGCCACUCUCCUCUUCCUGUCUCUGACCGAGGACUCGGGGCCUCCUUCUCCCUUCCCAUCUGCCCCGGCACCACCUCUUUGUCCCCCAGCUUGCUGCACUGACAGGUGGAGUUGCCGCGGUGAUGGAUGACUAUGCGCCCGGUUUCGGAGUCAGAGUCCUACACCUCUGCUACCUGCCAUGCGGGUCCCUGUCAAAGACUUCCUGUCAGGGGCGAGUGACGCCGUCUCCGCCUCGUCUUUGACUGGCAGAAUAAACACAGUCGCCGCAAAACAGCGGCGCUGGGAGGGAGCAGCUACAAGCAGCCGCGGAGACCGCAGCCAAAGGAGCCCUGACCAGGAAAUGCAGCUGGAGAGGAAGACGGAAACAAAGCGGAGAAGGAAGGAACGACUAGAGAAGAAGAUGCAGAGGCCUGUGUGUGUGUGUGUGUGUGUGUGUGUGUGUGUGUGUGUGUGUGUGUGUGUGUGUGUGUGUGUGUGUGUGUGUGCACCAGUAGCGCGUGCGGUCAUCCAGAACUCCUGUCUGUCACAAUCACAUGCUCCCCAUUAUAUGACAAACCAGUUGACAUCCCAUUUCCUCACGCACACACACACACACACACAUGCACAGAGGCAUGAUGGGAGAUGGAUAACACACAGUGCCAUUGAAACGUGGCCCUGUCUCCAUCCCCAUAGGAGAGACUGUUUGUUUGCUGUAAUGGCUCACACGGCUGACUGACACUUUCCUCCAUGCCGACCCAGCAGCCAAUCUAUUAAAAUUGUGCGGUGACAUUGUUGAUUAGGCAGACACUGAGUGUACUGCGUGCGCUUUGUUAUACAUUAAUGGGUUUAUUGGUGCAGGGAAAUGCUGCGCGGUGCGUUUGUGCGAACGCAUGACUGUACGUUUCGCCUCCUCUUUGUGUGCGCGCGAGAUCAAGGGCGUGCGAAUCAAAUGGAACCGUUUCAUUCUGAACCACAGCUUUGCACAACACAAAGACCAACACGUGGGACUGAGGAGAUAGUUGCAGUCAAGUGCUGCCAUCUAGUGUCAGAUCAGGCAAAAACAGCCCUGUCUCACACACACAUCCCUCUGGAGGUGAUAAUCUGUCUGAAAAUAGUCACAUUUAGAGGAAAAUUCAAAGUAGCCAUAUUGAUUUUUGAAUAACUAUUAAAUGGACACAGCGGGAUCGCUCAUAAUCCAGAUGACAUAAAUUCAUUAUCCGCCCAUUGUUCCCGUGUCUCACCCUCACUCUCAGUCUCUUAGUCUACUGCAGAUCAAUAGCUUUGUUUGUUCCAGCAACACUUCUCUGUGUUUUCUCUUGUUCCUCUCCGCAGGAAGCGAAUUGGACGUCCUAUUUGCGCCGCGGUUAUGCUGUGAUUCAGAAAAAAGCCAAAUUAAAUUGCCUAAUUGGUUUCCUUGGGAAGGGUAAAACAGAUUUAAAUUGAUUACCGGUAAUGGCCUUUUGUGGAACCGCAUUGGCUUCUGCUGUUUGAGGGGGAUUUAGCAAAACCAAUUAAUUUGCCUCACCUCUUAUGCGCCCUCCUCCUGUCUCCAUUUGUCUCUGUCUCUCUGGCGUCCGCUUUUCCCACCGUCUAAUGUCCUCGUUCAUACUCCCAAAACCAAGAGGGAUGAUGAUGACGAUGACGUCACUGGAUAACAAUCAUUCAGGCAUAAUUGGCUGAAAACUGUCACACUGCAGCGCUGAUAAAAAAGCAUGAUGUGUUUUUUUUUUUCUCUCCUCCUACAUCGACUGUUAUGAGACUUGCCUGACAAAAGGUAAUUUAAAUUUCUCUGUCAAUUACUGCGGCGGCGCCGGUUUGCCUCCACCUGGCAGCAGCUCUCUCUGCUCCUGCAGCUGAGAAAGGAAAAAGUAAGAUGUCAAGGUCACAUUUUGUCACACAAGCUGAUUAAAUCCUUAAUGCGCUGCCCCCCCCCCCCCCCCCCCCC